rnacentral:rRNA from 1 species
CCUGGCUCAGAACGAACGCUGGCAGCGUGGAUUAGGCAUGCAAGUCGUACGAGGGUGUUUUGUAGCAAUAAUGAAACACCCGAGUGGCGGAAGGGCGAGUAACGCCUGAGCAACCUGCCCCCUUGGCUGGGGAUACCUCGGGGGAAACCCGAGUUAAUACCGAAUGUGACCAGGCCUGGCAUCAGGCCGAAGUCAAAGGCGGGACCGCAAGGCCUGCCGCAAGGGGAGGGUUCAGGUACCAUCAGCUAGUCGGUGGGUAACGGCCUACCGAGGCGACGACGGUUAGCUGGUCUGAGAGGACGACCAGCCGCACUGGGACUGAGAUACUGCCCAGACUCCUACGGGAGGCUGCAGUCGAGGAUCAUUCGCAAUGGGCGCAAGCCUGACGAUGCGACGCUGCGUGGAGGAAUGAAGGGCUUCGGCUCGUAAACUCCUGUCAUGAGGGAAAAAGGUCCUUCCCGUUAACAGCGGGGAGGCUCGAUGGUACUUCAAGAGGAAGCCACGGCUAACUCUGUGCCAGCAGCCGC